CUUUGGCUUUUGGAACACUAGAUAUUAGACUAACCAUGUCAGGAUAACAUACUCCCUUGGAUUAUCAUCGGACUCGCAAGACCAGACUCCAACACGGGCUGAAAAUUUGAAAUGGGACCUGACACUCUUGGACACAGAUGUCGGCUACGGCAGCGGCUUCAAAUACGCUUUGGUGACCAUAUUUCUAAUCGAGAGGUGAGAUAAUAUAUUUGUCUGUAUAAUAUUUUGUGAAUUGGUUUAGGACACAGUGGUGUCUUUUUUUAAGCAAGUAUCCAUUGAGAGGGGUCAGAGGAUUAGCUCAAGCUCCAACAUAUCUAGCUGCUACCUUGCUUAACAUAGCUGCUACCUCAAUCGCUUUAUUUUUUGUGUUUUCCCCCCCUGUGGCAUUUAUUCUGUGCACAUGAACACGUUUUCAGAAUUGCUAUGUGUAACUCAGACGGUUACUCUUGUGUGUUUUGCUGCUAGUUGUGCGAACGAGCCAGACAAACCAGCUGGGAGGAGGACGGAAGCACCCCUUCGAAUUCUCCAUCCGCGUUCAGUUGCUAAAUACGGAUCCACCCCGUAGUGUGGUGUUUUCCAUAGCUGUUCCUUGCUCCUGUUUCACAACAUAUCAAGGCUGCCAAGUAAAUGAAGAAUGAAUCACCGCACACUGGUAGUUUAUUUUAUUCAUGUUUGUGGGUGUAAUUUCGUCCAGUUGCAGAUACUACUAUCCUUUUUGGAAUGAUCUGCCUUUGAAAAACAAUGGUUCUAUCUGACAAAAGUGAACAGAUCCUGUAGUUGUAAUUGAUACACUAAAUCAGUGUUUCUCAACCUUUUUUUAGGCGCGGCACCCUUUCAAUUCAUGGAAAAUUUCAAGGCACCCCAAACCAAGUAGCCAUAUAGCAUCACAUCCGAUACCACACAAGCUUAGAAUGUAACACAUUUGGAGACACAACCUAGUAGCACGACCUACGUUCAAAGUUGCAGCUGGGGUGACCAAUAUUUACUUUAUUGUGGGUAAAUGGCAGAUCAAAGAUUCCACUGACUAACAUUAACUUAUCAAUUUUGACAAAUAUGUUUUAUGUUAUAUAAUUUAUUUAUCAGCCACGUUUCCGCGGCACCCCUGAGGGGGCCCUACGGCACCCCAGGGUGCCCCGGCACCCCUGUUGAGAAACACUGCACUAAAUUAUGAUAUUCCUAUGUGUGCGCGCGCACGCACCAAGUUUUCAAUUCAACACACUGGGACACUUUUCAGUCUUUGAGGUUGCUGGAAUCAACACAGACUACCUCCAUGCACCUUAUCAGAACACUUUGCAUGUUUUUGUAUACUUGUCCCCUUUGUGUAUUGCUGCUAAUCUUUCUCUUUCUAGGUUCUGUUGGUUGCAUGCAGAUUGUGCCAGAUGAUUUAUCUGUCUAUGGUCUAAGCAUGGGCUCUGUGCUAAUAUGCAAUUUGUGCUCUUUUUUUCCCUCAGGUCAACAGCCGACAGGGUCCUUCCACAACCACAUACUUAUGCCAGUAAAAGCCACAGCUUUUCUCCUCCAAUCCAAGAAGCCUGGACUGCAGUCACCAUCUCAACACACCAACCAAGAGAAAGGCGGAUGGCUCAAUUCAAUAUGGAAAAUUGCACAAUAAAAGUUCCAGGACAUGAAGGCUGCAUACUGUGAACGUCAACCUUCAUGGCACCGUCCUGCGCAGAAGACUUUCUACCCUAAGAGGGAUGGCUGACCGCAGACACUCACACUUAUCUGCACAGACGCCUCCAACCUCAAACUAGGCCCUUCACAGUUGCUGCACUUACCCACCUUCCCAGAGUUUUUGUGUGGUAAUGACAACUGUAAAUAUAGUAUAAAGUAAUGUAUCUAGUGUCAUGUGUAAUACAUUGUUUAAAUUGUCCAUACAUUUCAAUGACAGUAAAUAUUGGUGGACACAAUUUGACUGUGUGGCUUUUUUUAAUUAAUUCUCUGACUGAAAAUGCAUGGUUACAUAAUUUAUAUAUUCCACAAGACCACAAUCAGAAGAACAUUUGACAGGUUGCAUUUAUUUUCUAUGUAUGAAAAAAACAAUGGUAACAAGACAAACGUGGUUCCAAACCAAAAAGGUGAGAUGUACAGAUGAAUGCUCCUACAGAUAAUGAAAAAUAAUAAAAGUCUGCACACUGCCGGUUUGUGUGUUUUAUACCGUACUCUGUAUAAACCUUUUUAUAUUGCUCUAGUGGAGCAGGGUAACCCUGGCUAAUCCUGGGUAUUGUACUGUGUAUUACAACGUCAGCCCUGUUCAAGUGCCCCAUACUGUCUGUAGGCUGCAUGCCUGAAGAGACCGUUUCUCUCACCUGGUCCUACAUCAGCCCAAAGUCUUAUCAAAACUGAGAACACCACAGCAUUUCCUUUCAAUGUUCAUGGGCAUCUCCUUACAGAUUGCGCAGAGGCGCCAGGUUGGUUGUGCUACUGGGCUGUGACUGAGGACCAGAUGUCAUGUGCCAGGUCGAACAUCAAACUGGGGUCACGGGUCAGGGCACGCUGCAGUAA